rfam:Clostridium sp. CAG:470 genomic scaffold, scf34
AGGAAUUGAAGUGGAGAUAGUGCUUCCACGCACCUAGAAAUAGGUCAAAAGAAAUGUAGGAAGGGGCACACCUACCAAUUACC